GGCCCGGGGCGGGGCGGAAGGCGGGACCGGAGGUGGAGCAAGGGGCGUGGGGCAAGGCCGUCCCCCGCGUGGGCCCCCUUGGCUCCGCGCGCCCCUCUGGGUUGGGCCUGGGGCUGCCCCUAUGGGUCUGGCCCACGCCCUAGGAUGGUGGCGGAGGGCCGCCGGGGAGGGCGACGGCGAGUGCGGAAGGGUCCGUGAGUAUCCCCCGGUGCCGGUGUGGGCAAGCGUCCCCACCGAGGGAGAAUCGGGGCGGCCGGCUGGCCAGUCGGGUUGUGUCCCCUUCCUAAGGAGACGUGGGGACGGCGACCAGAAGGCGGAGGAGGCGCCUCCUUCUAGCUUCAGACGCGGAGGCGAGCGCCGUCACCUCCCGACCCGGUGGAGCGCGUGGACGGUGAGUGCUGAGAUGUCAGGGCGGGACGGGGAGAAAGCCUCCAGGCGACGACACUUCUGUGUGUGUGUGUGUGUGUGUAUACACAGUCACAAGUCUACAAACACAGGAUGCAACACACAUAAAGUACAAAGUUCAAGAUAAACAGUAAAGGGAAAAACAAGUCUUACGUCCCUCCCUCCCCCUCCGGCCCCAGGAGAGGAAGACAUAUUCAAGCCUGCAGGCAUUUCUGGAGAAUUCCUCUAGUUCCGGCAGGUCUCCCCUACUGCCUUGCAGGUAUUAGAAAGCGCCUGCCUUCUGCUAAAAGGGUCCUCAGGCUUCCCUGUAAACCCAGUUAGGGCACGUCAUUCCUUCUCAGCCACACUUGGGUCCUGCUGCUCCAAACCACGGCGCACCCGUGCCUCCGUGGACUUUCCGUGGCCACCUGUUCCCUGUGGGUGAGGGUAGUCAGGGAGGGGAAUUAGCUCCAGUCUGGGCAGGUAGUCUUUCGGUUUGGGGUGUUCCUCCUUCUCCAGGAGGAGCCCUUCUCUCUCCCUGUGUUGCCCUCCUCAGCCAUAUACUCUUGUUCUUGGAUUCACUUUCCUGUUUUGGUGAAGCUGAAAAGAGGUGUCUGGGAGAUCAUUUUUUUUAAAGAUACUGCAAAGCUGAAAAUGUCUUCAUUUUGCCCUCAUACUUGAUUUGUAGUUUGGCUGGACAUAGAAUUCUAGGUCAGAAUCCUCUUCCUUCAAACUCUGAAGGCAUUGCUCCCUUUCUCCUCCCUCCUAGGAGUGUUGUGAAGAAAUCCACAGCCAUUCUAAUUUCUAAUCCUUUACAAGCAGUGGGGACAUUUUCCUCCCUGGAAGUUUUUAAGAUCGUCUCCUGAAGUUUCACAACGUGGUGCUUCCAUGUGCCUCGAUUGUUACUUACUGUGUUGGGCACUCAAAGGGCCCUCAGUCUAGAAACUCCUGUCCUUCAAUCCUGGUAGUUAGACAUUAGCAGCAAGAAGGUGACAGUGGCGAGAAAGACAAGCAGAAGCAAUCGAGUCACACCCAACCAUCUGGAGACCCUCCCUGACAUUAGCAGCAAGAAGGUGACAGUGGUGAGAAAGACCAGAAGGAGCAAUCAAGUCACACCCAACCAUCUGGGGACUCUCCCCUGACCCCACCCAGAACAGUUGAAACUAUGGUCAUAUGGUGGGCAGCUUAUCCUGUUAAAGAGGGGCACAGUAACACAAGGGAACUUCCCUGGGCUGCGCAUGCCCAGACCAGACAGGUGUAUAACCUAUAGUAAACCCAAACUCAUUAUACCAUCAUUAUAAUAAAAUCUAUGUAUGGUUUUGCCCCCCGCCCCCGUGGGCAUUUCUUAGCGAUUGAAGGAUGAGAGCCUGCGCAGCAGUAAACUUGUUACAUAGCUCGGGACUGUCGAUCAAAUAAUGAUCCCCUGUCACUCGCCCCCGCCUCCCUGCAAAAUGCUCCUUAAAAGCACCCUUAAGCCUGUAUGGGAAUGCUGCUUUCAAUUCACAGAAACAGCCCACUCUCUCUCUGAGAGUGUACCUUUGCUUUGAUAAACUUUGCUUUGGUCUUGCUUCACUUCGCUGAAACAGCCCGCUCUCAGAAACAGCCCGCUUUCUCUCUCUCUCUCUCUCUCCCUCUCUGAGAGUGUACCUAUGCUUAAAUAAACUCUGCUUUAUGCUUAAGCUUAAAGCUGUAGUUUGCUAGUCUUUGCUUACUAUCGCGGAACCAAGAUUGCUGGUCCGUUGACCAGCAAUUGCUUCCGUUGACCUCCUCGGUUGGAGCUAUUUUGUUAUAACGCACGUCAACCCAGUGACACUCUGUGUGAUUUCUUCCAUUGAGGCUUUCGUUUCUGCUGUCAUAGUGUUCAUUUCCAGGAGCCCUUUCUUCUGUACAAAUGUUUCUUUUUAGAAAGGGGAGGGUCUCUUCUUGCCUCAUCUUCCAGGGGGAUCGUCCUCGCUGGUCUGCAGACGCGAAGUGCUAUGCUCCUGCUCGGUCGCUGUGCUCUGGGUUCUUCCUGUUUCUUUUGGCUCUGUCUUCCAGGAAGAAGCUCUCUAAGAGACUGCAGGCUGACCGGCUCCUGAUCCUGAGCAGUUUCGGUGGCUGGUCUUGCCACCAAGCAGGAGAGGCACGAAGCCCGGCAGGGAGCCCGAGAGUCGCGCCUUCGGCGAUGGCGGUGACCACUGGACCCAGAGGCGGCGCGGGGUCAGCAGCGCCAACUCCUGGCUAAAACGCUGGGCCUGGGACCAGCCAUAACGCUGAGCCAGACACUGGCCUUGUCGCUCAGCCUGACAUCCCGCGACUGAUGAGGAAACGCCAGGCGACCUGGAAAGUGACGGCCCCAGCUGCCAGGCCAACGAGAACCUGUCAUCACCCUGAACUCUCAUUUUCCUCCAAUUGACUUUUCUUCAAAACAACCCCUCCCAACUUCCUCCCUUUUCUCUAUAGAGAAAAAUGGUAAAAUAACUGGCUGUUUUAUUUUUUAGGUUAGCAAGUUGAAAGUAUUCUUUAUAUAUUCUAGACACAAGACCCUUAUCAGAUCUAUGAUUUGCGAGAUUUUUUCUCUCAUUCUGUGGGGUGGCUUUUCACUUUCUUCAAUGUAUCCUCUGAAACAUAAAAGUUUUUAAUUUUGGUGAAGUCCAAUUUAUAUAUUUUUUUCUUUUGUCACGUGUGCUUUCGUCCCUAAAUUACUUCAUGAAGGAUAGCAGCCACCUGACCU